GAUCAUUACUGAGAGGUCUAAAAAACCACUAGUUGGGGGUCUCUUCCCCUCUAGUAGUUCCUCACAGUUUUGUGCAAAGUCGGGUCAACUUGGUUGGCUCUGCCUUGUGCUGUAGAUCUGGUUGUUGGCAUAGAGACCCUCCUUUUAGGAGACUUGUGCCACUACUAAGAUCUAGGCUGCUUGAAAAGAGACGUAUGGACCCUUCUUUCAGGAGACCUAUGUCUCGAGUCAAAGCAAGCAAGGCAAGCCUUUGGGGCUCUAGUAYUAACUAUCCCCAAAGGUGUUUAUUCUUCUCGUGUAAACCAUGAUGUACGAAAAAGUUAGUUGUUAACUUAAAAACAACUCUUGGCAAUGGAUCUCUUGGUUCUCGCAUCGAUGAGGAGCGUAGCAAAGUGCGAUAAUUAUUGCGACUUGCAUUCAUAGCGAAUCAUCGAGUUCUCGAACGCAUCUUGCGCUAGUAGUCAAUCUACUAGGCACAGUUGUUUCAGUAUCUGCAACUACCCAUCAGUUCAACUUGGUUCUUUGGACCUAAGCGAGCUG
rnacentral:misc_RNA from 1 species